rnacentral:rRNA from 1 species
UACGAAGGGGGCUAGCGUUGCUCGGAAUCACUGGGCGUAAAGCGCACGUAGGCGGCUUCUUAAGUCAGGGGUGAAAUCCUGGAGCUCAACUCCAGAACUGCCUUUGAUACUGAAGAUCUUGAGUUCCGGGAGAGGUGAGUGGAACUGCGAGUGGUAGAGGUGAAAUUCGUAGAUAUUCGCAAGAACACCAGUGGCGAAGGCGGCUCACUGGCCC